UAAACGUAGAUUACCGACAAAAGCGAUUCCAUAACCCCUAAGCUAUUUUGCGAGACGAAUCUAAUGAUGUAUAUUAAUCCAUGAUUAGCGACCGAUUACUGUAGCAUCACUAUAAUAAAUCAUGGAUUAAUAUACCUCAUUAGAUUCGUCUCGCAAAAUAGACUAGGGGUUAUAGAAUGGGUUUUGUCACUAAUAUAUGUUUA
rnacentral:miRNA from 1 species